GACGAACGCUGGCGGCGUGCCUAAUACAUGCAAGUAGAACGCUGAAGCUUGGUGCUUGCACCGAGCGGAUGAGUUGCGAACGGGUGAGUAACGCGUAGGUAACCUGCCUGGUAGCGGGGGAUAACUAUUGGAAACGAUAGCUAAUACCGCAUAAUAGUAGAUGUUGCAUGACAUUUGCUUAAAAGGUGCAAUUGCAUCACUACCAGAUGGACCUGCGUUGUAUUAGCUAGUUGGUGAGGUAACGGCUCACCAAGGCAACGAUACAUAGCCGACCUGAGAGGGUGAUAGGCCACACUGGGACUGAGACACGGCCCAGACUCCUACGGGAGGCAGCAGUAGGGAAUCUUCGGCAAUGGACGGAAGUCUGAACGAGCAACGCCGCGUGAGUGAAGAAGGGUUUCGGAUCGUAAAGCUCUGUUGUAAGAGAAGAACGAGUGUGAGAGUGGAAAGUUCACACUGUGACGGUAUCUUACCAGAAAGGGACGGCUAACUACGUG
rnacentral:rRNA from 1 species